GACGAACGCUGGCGGCGCGCCUGACACAUGCAAGUCGAACGAGCGAGAGAGAGCUUGCUUUCUUGAGCGAGUGGCGAACGGGUGAGUAACGCGUGAGGAACCUGCCUCAAAGAGGGGGACAACAGUUGGAAACGACUGCUAAUACCGCAUAAGCCCACGGUGCCGCAUGGCACAGAGGGAAAAGGAGCAAUCCGCUUUGAGAUGGCCUCGCGUCCGAUUAGCUAGUUGGUGAGGUAACGGCCCACCAAGGCGACGAUCGGUAGCCGGACUGAGAGGUUGAACGGCCACAUUGGGACUGAGACACGGCCCAGACUCCUACGGGAGGCAGCAGUGGGGAAUAUUGCACAAUGGGGGAAACCCUGAUGCAGCGACGCCGCGUGGAGGAAGAAGGUCUUCGGAUUGUAAACUCCUGUUGUUGGGGAAGAUAAUGACGGUACCCAACAAGGAAGUGACGGCUAACUACGUG
rnacentral:rRNA from 1 species